UAAGAUUUUAAGUUAAAAAAACUAUAUGCCUUCAAAUCAUAACUUAUAUAUUAUAUUUAAAUCUUAU
rnacentral:tRNA from 1 species